GAGGGCAUAGCUCAGCGGUAGAGCGCAUGCUUAGCAUGCAUAAGGUCCUGGGAUCCAUCCUCAGUACCUUCA
rnacentral:tRNA from 1 species